AUAUAAGUCAAGUCCAACUC
rnacentral:snRNA from 1 species